rnacentral:lncRNA from 1 species
UCUCUUCUACUCGGCCGGCUCAUCCGAGCGGAGUAGCCUGCAGAUAAAGGUGAAACUGAAUAUAUGUUGAUUAUUUCUGUGACCCGAAAGAAAUAUCUAUUUUUGAUUAAAUCCCUUGUAUUUCUUUUCUUCAAGUUUUCUUUUUUUACGCAAAAGUUUCUGUUUAAUUGAGAAAGAAGAGAGGGAGCCCAUUAGCCAGCGCAGCCCAACACCGUCGGGCCUAACUUAACUUUUUUCACGUCCAGGUCGGCCCACCUUACUCCCGUUAACCCUAGCAGCCAGGGAGACCGAUCCCCUCGUCUCCCUCCAGCGCCGCCCCACGCCAGCCUCGACCCUCCCUCAUCUUCCUCCGCACACCGCUGGUGACCGCCGCCACCGGGGAAGCCAAGCAGAUGAGCAUGCCACCAUGGACGCCUCGCCUCUGCCUCGCGCUACCCACCGGAUCUGGUUCUCCAUGUUGAGAUCCGCCCGUUCCGGGCCUCCACUCGCCCCGCUCGCCAACCGCUGGAGCCCCAAAUCCCGCCGGCGCCAUGACCCGCCGCCAGGAGCUCGGGUUCAGGCCACGACGACUGCUUCCUCCCACCGCACAGCACCCCGCGCGCCCAAAUCCCUCUUCCUCUGGUUUUAUGAGACCUUGGGCAUUGUUUUCACCACCGUUCCCUUUUUUGAUCGAUUCGUGUGUGCCUCAUCCGCCUGACCUGUGUUUGCGGAUUAGUUGUUCGCUCUGGUUAGAUUGGAUAUAAAUUCGCGAUGUGGGAUUAUUAUUACCCGAACAAGCACAGGAGGCCCAGCCAGGCGACGCAUAAUUCUUUGCGGAGAAACAAUCGAAUCAUUUUUACUCAAUUACUUUUGUACUGCGGGUUUAUUUCCAUAAAAGUCAAGGGGUUUUCUGAAAAACGCCGUGACGGUGAACCCGGAGACCCAAUCCGUGCUUUAUUAUUAGGGAGAGACUAGCACAAAUGCUCGUGCGUUACAACGGGUACUAUAGAAAAAUGCUUAGAAACCUGAAAAACAAUUGACCACUUAAACAACUUUGCAAGUAGCAAAACAAUAUUUAACAUAAUCACAUGUACCGAGGACCAUAUUCUUGAAACAAAGAGCGAAAAUCUGAUGAUGCUUAAAGAAAGAAAGAAAUUCCCUUAAUUGCGUGAGGUUAGAAGCAAAAUGAUGUACCCCGUGUUCUUGUUUCAGCUGACACCAGAACAUAAAGUAGAAAAUAAAAGGCUUAGUAAUCAAAAGAGAUGUAAAAUGUCCAGCAAAAAGAUAAAAUAGUGAGACCAAGAGUAAUUGGGUACCAGUCACACCUUAAGCUAAAGGUUUGCUAAUGUGAAUAUUUCUAUCUCUACACAACGAUGAUACUCACAUAUACCUGUCACAAGGAGUUAACACCUAAAGAUAAAAAAAUUGUCUUCUGGCUCCAUCUCGGUGAUAUGCAAAGAUACAGGUGAUAGACUUUUCUAGGGGCUUGAUGCUGGUGUAAAGAUUGGCAUUUCUGUUUGACGUGCUUCCUGGUCAAGGUCGCAGCGGGAGAAGGUCGGGCACACACACACUUUCUUGUUUUUGGUGAGAAUGUACAUGCGCUUUUUACAUGAAACUCAAUGAACAUCUAUUGAUUCAGCUUGUAAAAUAUAUGCUUCCACUGGUGAAAAAGUCUGAAAAUGGAUUACAUCACACGCUAGACGUAAAGAAUGAUACAGAACACACAUAUCAACAACGCCGACAGGAAAGUAGGUCUAGGCAUGUGCGCAGAGCUGCUCGAGCUGCUCCUCGAGUGCAGAUCCACUCUCUAGUGAAGUCAUAGAUGUUUCUAAUUAGGCCUUUACUGAAUUAAUGAAGCCUGUUCGGAAUUCCUCUGCAAAUACUACGGCUCCAAUCUUUCAGUAUCGAGUUAAGUAGUUAACAUUAUAGUAGUGAUAAAUCAUAAAAUUCACAGCAAGCUGGAACCUAAGUCGCUUCUAAAACCACAUACCAAGUAGGAUAUCCGGUCCCUUCUGGCCAUUUCAUAGGUUGUUUAAUUUGUGGGCGCUCUGAAUAAAAUAGAAACAGGAAUUUCAGUCAAACAUGCAUUAUAGACAAAAUGCAGUUGCUCCUUUUGAGCAGGUGCUGCAUGAAUGCUUAAUGGCCUAAAAUUGCUCAAAACACAGCCAUGCGCCAGAUGGGCAGGCAUGUGUAGGGCUUUGCUUUGGAUUUUGCUCUCUGGUCCUCUAAGUAUAAAUCGACAAGGUAGUACUGAGGCUGAGAGUCACAAAAUAAUUCACUUCAAAACGAUUUAUAUGUUCAACCAUUGGCCCAGUUGCCAUGAAUUUUCUAGAUAGUAAUAUUGUUCCGCCAAAGCUCCAAUCCAUCACUUUAUCCUCUCUUUUUCCCAAAUGGAAAUGCAAGCAUCCGUGCUCAACUUAACAAUUCAUCAAGAAAAUUAAAAUAAAAAAUGGUACAUACCAUUUGACAUCGCUUCUGAAUAAUUGGAAGACCUUGUCAAAGGACCAGAAAACUUACAUGUGAAGCAUCAUCAACAAGGCGAUGAUGGUUCAUGAAGACUAAUUCUGGUGUUCUUCAGCAUAUACUUCUCUGAAUUCAAACUUUAUGGCGUCAUAAUACUCUUUGCUUUUUUCCUUAUGGUGACAAGGGUUAGAUCUCUUAAGAGGGUGAGGCCAAUCAGUAAACACAGGGAAUGACACUCCCCCACCGCACAAAUACUAUUGCAUCAUUUAGCAAUCAGUAUACACAGGAAGACCAGUAUGCCUUUUGCACCCUUCCAGAAAACUAAAUACAGUACUAUUUAGACCGCACAAAUCUGCAACAGCAAAACAACAACUUUUAGCAUAGGAACACUCUCCUUAGGAAACGGUGGAUACAUGGUACGGACUGCAACAAUUCUCAAGCAGUAAGAAUAGACGAGAAAAAGAAUGAAGAGAGCUUUUCAAAAGAAGAAAAAAAGGACUAACAUUUGUUUUCAUGAACUCUGCAUUCCAAAUAUCUUCUAGGACAUAUGCCCGUGUGUUGCAACGGGGUGACAAAAUUCAGCCUUUAAAUGAAAAUAGUAUUAGUAUAAAAUACUGAAAUUGUUCAACCAUGCCCAUUUAUUUAUUUUCUUCGUUUCAUAGCAUUUAUUCAUGCCAACCGGGAGGCCUUUGCUUAUUUUUUGUUUCACAGACCACAGUCGCUUUUAUUUUUCGUUUAGCAUACAACAAUCGUGCUCAACUGAGAUUAUUUGUUUCGUAGCCCACAAUCUCCUUUAUUUAUGUCAACCGGAAUUUUUCAUUUCAGAGCCCACAAUUUCCUUUAUUUAUACUAAACAGGGUUUUUUGAUUCGCAGCCCACGAUCCCUUUUAUUUAGGCUUCCUGAGAUUUUUCGUUUGGCAGCCAACAAUCCCCAACUCCUUUUAUUUAUUACGCUAACCAGGUGAUACUUUUUGCUAAACACAGCUCACCCUCCGUCAGUUUAUUCUCAGGCUGCUUGUUAAUUCUCAUACUUAUAGGCAUAUAUAAAUUGAUAGAAUUUUUUUUAAAAAAACUUGAUAGAAUUAGCUGUAAGAAGCUAGGUGCGACUAUUUAAUCUGUUAACAAACUUGUUUUAUUAUAAGCAUGAGCAGAUUCUGCCCAACUUGGCCCAAAAACAUCAGGGUCGCAGCGAGG